CACGUAGGGGGCGAGCGUUGUCCGGAUUUAUUGGGCGUAAAGAGCUCGUAGGCGGCUUAGUAAGUCGGGGGUGAAACCUCCAGGCUCAACCUGGAGACGCCACCCGAUACUGCUAUAGCUUGAGUCCGGUAGGGGAGCGUGGAAUUCCUGGUGUAGCGGUGAAAUGCGCAGAUAUCAGGAGGAACACCAGCGGCGAAGGCGGCGCUCUGGGCCGGUACUGACACUGAGGAGCGAAAGCGUGGGGAGCAAACAGG
rnacentral:rRNA from 1 species